ensembl:lncRNA
CGUAACUCUUGGGGAGGAUCUGCGCCCGUUGGUAAACGAGGACGCGCCCCAGUCAGACGCGCCCCAGGCACGGGGUCCCCGGGGCUCCCGGCCGCGCCGUCGGAGCACCCGGCGCGGCCCCGCCCUCCCCGCGCGCGGAGCGGCCGGGGCGGGGACUACAAGUCCCGGCGUGCCGCGCGCGCCUCCCCCUAGGGUUCCGGAUGGUGAGCGGCGAAGGUAAGGCGAGCUCGCAGAGGCAUCGGCGGCGGCGGCGGAGACGGAGAGAGGCAGGCAGGCAGGGCGAGGGCGAGAGACGGAGGGAGCGAGCGAGGCGGACCAGACAGACAGACAGGCGGGCGGGCGGGCAGAGCGAGCCACCCGCCAGGCUGCGCUCAGCCCCGCUCGCAGCGGAGAGAGCAGAAGGCAGGAGGAGGGAGGGGAGGAGGGGGAGGGAGGGAGAGAGGGAAUCCAGCUACCACCACCCAAAGCCAGCGUCUGCUUUCUGUCCUCAUUUCCUUUUCCCACCCAGCUUGGAGAGCAGAGAAAGGCAGAGAGAGCGAGAAAUAGAGACAGUCUGAGAGACAGACAGACAGCCAGAGAGAGCGGGAGGGAGGAGGGCGGAGGAGGAGGAGCAGGAGGACUACGCGGGGCGCGUUCCCUCCCAGGUUUGCAAUUGGGGGGGUGGGGGCGGGGGUGUCCAGGGCUGGGAGAGUGUGUGCGCGGCGGGAGGGCGAGGGGAGCGCAGAGAGCGAAGGAGUGAUCGAGGUGGGGGGGCGCCGCGGGAGCGGGGCCGUGUCCAGCGGAGUUAGCGGCGGAGAAUGUGAGCCGAGGCGCGAGCCAUGCUGUCAGCGACGGCGGGCGGCUCAGGGCUCUUCCACGACUCCUCUCCUCAGCAGCCGGGCGCCCGCGUCGCUGCCACCGCCGGAAGACAGACGCCCCCUAAAACCCCUCGCUUGGCUCGGACCCACGGAGCCGGCAGCCCAGCACUCCGAUGGGAGCUUGCCUGAUUGUCAAGCCAUCGGCCUGGACCCCAGAGCCUACCCAGCUGAGCAUGUGCAGAGGGCCCCGAGUGCGGGGCGACGCUCAGGCCAUUACAGAGACCACCCUGGAGAUGCUGAUGAAGACGGGCCUUUCCUGCUGAGCCGGGCCUGUCUGCACAGCCUGCUCAGGCGCUGUCCACGCCCCGAGGCCUGGGCUCAGGCCGAAGUUGCUCCACAGCACCCCCAGCUGACAGCCAGCGACUGGCAGAGCCCCCAGGCACGGGGGCCCUCUCUCUUCCAGAGAUCUCCAGUGUGACAGCCCAGGCGGCAGAGCCGAGGGUCCUAGUCCCGGCUUCUCGCACCCUCAUGUCAGCCCCGGCCCCGCCCGGCGGCCUGCGGAGGACAAGGUCAGGAUGCGUGUGAAGCCCCAGGGCCUGGUGGUGACUUCCAGUGCCGUGUGCAGCUCUCCUGACUACCUCCGGGAGCCCAAGUACUACCCCGGCGGCCCCCCCACCCCCCGGCCCCUGCUUCCCACCCGGCCCCCUGCCAGCCCACCCGACAAGGCCUUCUCCACCCACGCCUUCUCCGAGAACCCACGCCCACCCCCACGCUGGGACCCCAGCACCCGGCCACCAGUCCUUGCCAGGACCCGCUGCCCCCACGGGCAGCCCGUCCUGUCUCACAGGCCCGCUGCCCCACACCGGCCGGAGACGGCAGCAGCUCCCGACGCUGCUGGGACAACGGGCGGGUGAACCUGCGACCAG